rnacentral:rRNA from 1 species
AAUGAGCGCUGGCGGCGUGGUUAAGACAUGCAAGUCGAACGGUUUUCAUUGAAGGGCAACCGGAUAUGAAAGCAGUGGCGAACGGGUGCGUAACACGUGAACAAUCUACCUCCAAGUGGGGAAUAGCUCGGCGAAAGCCGGAUUAAUACCGCAUGUGGUGGUCUCUCGCAUGAGAGACUGACUAAAGACAGGGACCGCAAGGCCUGUCGCUAGGAGAGGAGUCGCGGCCUAUCAGCUAGUUGGCGAGGUAACGGCUCACCAAGGCUAAGACGGGUAGCUGGUCUGAGAGGAUGAUCAGCCACACUGGAACUGAGACACGGUCCAGACACCUACGGGUGCAGC